CGCACUGCUCAGUAACACGUGGACAACCUGCCCUGAGGACUGGAAUAAUCCCGGGAAACUGGGGGUAAUUCCAGAUAUGUCAGAACUCCUGGAAUGGGUUCUGGCAGAAAGGCUCCGGCGCCUCAGGAUGGGUCUGCGGCCUAUCAGGGUAGUAGUGGGUGUAACGUACCUACUAGCCUACGACGGGUACGGGUUGUGAGAGCAAGAGCCCGGAGAUGGAUUCUGAGACAUGAAUCCAGGCCCUACGGGGUGCAGCAGGCGCGAAAACUUUACAAUGCGGGCAACCGCGAUAAGGGGACCUCGAGUGCUGGGUUACAAACCUGGCUGUUGGGCUGCCUAAAAAGCAGUCUAUAGCAAGGGCCGGGCAAGACCGGUGCCAGCCGCCGCGGUAACACCGGCGGCUCGAGUGGUAACCGCUAUUAUUGGGUCUAAAGGGUCUGUAGCCGGCCGACUAAGUCUCUUGGGAAAUCUGGCAUCUCAAGUGUCAGGCUGCCAGGGGAUACUGGUCGGCUUGGGACCGGGAGAGGUGAGAGGUACCUCGGGGGUAGGGGUGAAAUCUUGUAAUCCUCGGGGGACCACCAGUGGCGAAGGCGUCUCACC
rnacentral:rRNA from 1 species